UUUAUAUUCUGGCUGCAGUUACAACACACACAGGAGACAAUUACAGUCCAGCUGUGUCCACAGAAAGGUCUCACAUUUCAGGCAAAACCCUUCCAAAAGAGGGUGUCGUUAAUUAACACCUUUCUGGCCAUGGAGAACACUACAUUUGGGAUACAGUCUGAAGUCCUAAUCCUCUGCAAUUGUGGGAGGUGAACUGUAAAACCAAAGAAUGCAGAGGUGAUUUGGGAGGAGUGUCUCUUUAAAAGGAUGUUGAAAGUCCUCUCUUUAUAUCAUUUAAGGAAAGAGCAUGAAAGGAGUGAGAAGAAUAAAACCAAAACCUAAGCAAAAGAAUUGUGUACAAGAAACAGAUUUUUCAGUGGCUCUGAGUGCAGUUGGGCUGGAGAGAAGAACAUGAUGUAAGCUUCAGGAAGAAGCAACUCAGUUGUCACGUCAGAUGAUGAAAUUAAGUUUUUUACUCCCUGACUAAAUCUUCCAUCUGGCAGCAGUAGCUCUACAGUGCUGGCAUUUAUCAAGAGAAGACACACAGCACAGCCUUGCAUAAAUAAUGGCACUGGGCCAAGUACAGCUGAGGUGGUUGCCAGCACAACUCCAUUGAAGUCAAAGGAAUCGCACCCCGGGAAAUGGGAGCAAAUGUAAAAAGAAGAAAAUGAACCCACUGAGUCUGAGAUAGCUUCCCAGGAUCAAAUGUCUCCCUGCAUGAACCUUUGCAUGUAUUUAUGAAAUGGUAUUUUUCUUUGACAGGGCACAAAUGAGCUCAGCAGCUCAGUUAUUCCUACGCCAGAGCUUUGUAACAUGCUUCUCAAUAUGAUUGUGUAUUUCCUGUCUCUAUACCUCUAUACCUGUCUGUGCAUAAGUGUCAAAAUGUUAUUCAGCUGCUAUUGUGGCCAAUAUCAGCUGGAAUUUUGUCAUUUGCUUUGAGGAAGAGAGGCCAAAUUCAUAUUUGUUGCUGAGAAAUGCUUCUUCACAUGAUGUGAGACCCUGGGCAUCAUUCAGUGUUCCUGUGAAAGAAGCAGCAUCCCCAAAAUCACACAUAGUCAAAGGCAAUAGAAAGAAACUCACUUUGUAAGGUUGUGAUCUUUUCUACAUCCCACAGUGGAUCUUGAUGUCUUUUCUGCUCUAAAAUCAUGUUACUAAAGGACACAUGUGAGACAGCAGGUCAAAUUGGAAGAAAUGCACCAUUUAGAUCUGUAAAGAGCCUUCAGCUACAAUGGGGUCAACACCUCAGAAUACAAGAAGAAACAUUUUUAUAUCAACACUCAAUAGGAUUUAUCAUUUCUUUGUAAUUCAAACCAGAGCAAGCCCAAAAGUAAGGGGUGGAUGGGAAAGUAGAGUAAUAAAUGUGAGAGAAAAAAAAAACAGCAAGAAAGCUACAGAGGAUACAAGUUGAAAUAGUGUUGCACAGACAAUAAAUAAAUAUGCUUCUCUGCAAUAAAUACAGCAGGAAGGCUAACCAAAAAAAGAGCCAACAAAACAACCAACCAAACAAAAAAAACCUCAAACAAACAAAACUAAGCAAAGAAACAAACAAAAAACCCAAGCAAACAAACAAAAAAAAGCCCACAAAAGCUUAAAUGAUCGUGGCUGCAGUACAGGGACUGUCCAUGAUAAAGUGGUGGGACAAGCAGAGAAAAUACAAAGAGUCAAAAGAUUACUACAUAUUCUUAAACUUUCUUGUAAUUUCUUGUUUACAUGGUAUUGUCAGAAUUUUGAUCUGUAAAGGCUUAUUUUUCCCAUUAUUUAUCUGUUUCAGCCUGAGAAAGUUUUGUUUCACCAGUUGUAAGAGGUGUUUGCAGCAGUGAUCUUUCAGCACCAGUUCAAUUUUGUUACAGUGGAAAUGCCAUUAAGAGCAUCCCCAGCUCUUGGGGCUCUUUCCUAGGAACAGAGCAGUGGAGGCUGAAGGACAUGGUAUACUGAAUCAUGAAAUACAUGGGUGUGGAGGAAAUAGUCCUACAUCUUGUUCUCUUUCUGCAGAUCUACCAGAGCCAGGCAGGCCAGCUGGAGGGAUUUUUUCACCUUUUGUAUGCCUUAUUUUAUCCAUCAGCUAAAUACUUCCCUUAAAGCUAAAAUUAUUUUAAAAUCCUCAGGUAGUAAAUGUAACAUAUUCACAUGCUAAGCAUAAUUGAAGGCCAUAGUCAGUACCAUUGUAAAAGGCACACCACUUGAUGACCCUUUUGUUCCAAAUGCGUUGCCAUUCCUACUGGAUUCACCCCAGCAAGGCUCUCUUAGAGUGGUGUUUUCCAGAAAUCCUUCCAAUUGGUUGGGACCUGCCUGGGAUGCUGAGUGCUCCCUGCAGCCACUUAAUGCUGAUGUUAGGGCAAGAUGCUUGAAAAUGCAUGGCAGAUGGCUCACAGCAAUGAUGUGAGAGGAUUUAUCCUCCAGGAAACAACAGUUUAUUCCUGUUCUUUUGCUGGUGACUUUUGUCAUACCGAGCAAGACAGCAAAAGCUAGGGCAGAAUGAAAUAGGAUGUCUUUCCCACCAAUAUUUCAAAACACACUUGAAAAGGUUUUUGUUUUGAAAAUGAAUUAUUCAGUUUUGCAAUGCAAGAUGGAGGUAUUUUAUUCAUUUGGAUUGAAAAUGGGAAGCAUGAAUUCUAUUAUUUUACUUUUCAAGACUGUUUUUUUGAGUUACAUAAAAAAAUUAACUGUAGUCUUCCUUGAACCUACUGAAUUGAAAUAUGCAUAUGUGUAUAUAUGGUGUGUGCAAAAAUAUAUGCAUAAAUUUAUACAAAUAUGUACAGUGUAUGUAAAUAUACAUAUGGAAAAAUAUAGGAGUAUGAAUGCAUGUAGCUAGAAUUUGCUUGAAAAAAAAUGGGGAUUACCCCAAAUUCAGCUUCUCCUGAGAAAUUCUGAAAUGUUAGAGAGGGCCUGGAUUUGUCAGGUGUGAUAACCUUGCCUUGCUAUAUAUAAAGUUUGCCUGUGUAUCAGUG